rnacentral:rRNA from 1 species
GCUACGGGAGGCAGCAGUGGGGAAUAUUGGACAAUGGGGGAAACCCUGAUCCAGCGACGCCGCGUGAGUGAAGAAGUAUUUCGGUACGUAAAGCUCUAUCAGCAGGAAAGAAAAUGACGGUACCUGACUAAGAAGCCCCGGCUAACUACGUGCCAGCAGCCGCGGUAAUACGGAGGAUGCGAGGGUUAUCCGGAUUUAGUGGGUUUAAAGGGUGCGUAGGCGGACUGCAAAGUCAGCGGUAAAAUCGCGGGGCUCAACCUCGCUCCGCCGUUGAAACUGGCGUUCUUGAGUGGGCGAGAAGUAUGCGGAAUGCGUGGUGUAGCGGUGAAAUGCAUAGAUAUCACGCAGAACCCCGAUUGCGAAGGCAGCAUACCGGCGCCAAACUGACGCUGAAGCACGAAAGCGUGGGUAUCGAACAGGAUUAGAUACCCUUGUAGUC